UCAUGACUGGGGUGAAGUCGUAACAAGGUAACCGUAGGGGAACCUGCGGUUGGAUCACCUCCUUACCU
rnacentral:rRNA from 1 species